CUGAGAGAGAGGACCAAGACAAACCCUGAGCAGAAGCUCAGAGAGAGAGAGGACCAAGACAAACUGUUCAAGAAGGAGAUUAUUUUAUUCUCAGGACAGGGGAAUCUAAAGGGAAUUCUAUACGAUGUGUGCCUGGGGAAUAGCUGCUGGAGAUCCAUCUAACCAUGGAGCUAAUGUGCUGUUUUGUAGGACAGUAUAGAACAUGGAGACUGUAGCAUGAUGUACUACAGUACCCAUAAUGCCCUGUGUACAACCAUUCGUACCAUACCAGUCAGUGUCUAGAUGCUCAUGCAUCCGCGAAAGAUGUAAUCACUUACAGGAACUGCUCAUAGUGUGCACUCAGGCUCCACAUAAACAGGAAGUAGGAAGCAGAUCUCAUGUUUUUGGGGGGAAUUGAGAAUGUGAUAUCCUAUAUUUUAUGGUUUUACGUUUGUAUAAAUAGCUGUUUUAUCUGAUGCAGUUAGAUAAACUCUUAACCCUUCAGAUAAACGUAUUUCACAAAAUGUUCCUUUCCCUUUCUUCACAUGCUGGCAAGACCAAAAAAGGGAUUCAGGGCCCUUGAGUUCAGGUUCCGGGCCCUUGAGAUCAGGUUCCGGGCCCUUGAGAUCAGGUUCCGGGCCCUUGAGAUCAGAUUCCGGGCCCUUGAGAUCAGGUUCCGGGCCCUUGAGACCCUGUUUUGCAAUAGACUUUUGUAUAUCUUAAAACAAUGCCAUUUAUUAUGUAUUUUUGUAACAGCGUUUAUAUGCUUUAAGGUGCCGUUGGGUAUUUAUUCUACUUUACAGGUGUUUUAUCUUCCUAAAAUGAUGAAUAUUAAUAUUAAAUACAUUUUGAAAAA